AUUGAACGCUGGCGGAAUGCUUUACACAUGCAAGUCGAGCGGCAGCGCGGGGCAACCUGGCGGCGAGCGGCGAACGGGUGAGUAAUGCAUCGGAACAUGUCCAGUCGUGGGGGAUAGCCCGCCGAAAGGCGGAUUAAUACCGCAUACGCCCGGGAGGGGAAAGCGGGGGACCUGAAAGGGCCUCGCGCGAUUGGGUUGGCCGAUGUCCGAUUAGCUAGUUGGCGGGGUAAAGGCCCACCAAGGCGAUGAUCGGUAGCUGGUCUGAGAGGAUGAUCAGCCACACUGGGACUGCGACACGGCCCAGACCCCUACGGGAGGCAGCAGUGGGGAAUUUUGGACAAUGGGGGCAACCCUGAUCCAGCCAUUCCGCGUGAGUGAAGAAGGCCUUCGGGUUGUAAAGCUCUUUCGGCCGGGAAGAAAUCGCAUCUCCUAAUACGGGGUGUGGAUGACGGUACCGGAAUAAGAAGCACCGGCUAACUACGUGCCAGCCGCCGCCGUAA
rnacentral:rRNA from 1 species